rnacentral:rRNA from 1 species
UACGUAGGGUGCAAGCGUUGCUCGGAAUCACUGGGCGUAAAGGGUGCGUAGGCGGGUCUUUUAAGUCAGGGGUGAAAUCCUGGAGCUCAACUCCAGAACUGCCUUUGAUACUGAGGAUCUUGAGUUCGGGAGAGGUGAGUGGAACUGCGAGUGUAGAGGUGAAAUUCGUAGAUAUCGAGAGGAACACCGGUGGCGAAGGCGGCUUUCUGGACAGUGACUGACGCUGAGACGCGAAAGCGUGGGGAGCAAACAGG